rnacentral:rRNA from 1 species
CGGCGGACGGGUGAGUAAUGCGUGGGUAACCUGCCUCAUACAGGGGGAUAACAGUUGGAAACGGCUGCUAAUACCGCAUAAGCGCACAGUACCGCAUGGUACCGUGUGAAAAACUCCGGUGGUAUGAGAUGGACCCGCGUCUGAUUAGGUAGUUGGUGGGGUAACGGCCUACCAAGCCGACGAUCAGUAGCCGACCUGAGAGGGUGACCGGCCACAUUGGGACUGAGACAUGGCCCAA